rnacentral:lncRNA from 10 species
CACAUGCGUACACCGCCGCCCGACGCGCAUGCGUACACCGCCGUCCAACGCUCCUGCCAGCUCCGCUCCUCUAGUCCAAGUCCUUUAGUUGUGGUCCUUGGAAAAGUUUUCUGAUCACAUGCUGUGGAGGAAGCCAGACGCCAUGUUGUGAAGGCACGCAAACAGCCUACAGAGGUCCACAUGGUGAGGAACUGAGGCCUCCUGCAAACAGCUAGCAAUGACUUGCCAGGCAUAAGUAGCUACUUUGCAAAUGGGUCUUCCAGCUCAUCAGGCAUUCAAAUGACUGUAGCCUGACUGACAACUGACUGCAACCUCCUGAGACCUUGAAUCAGAACUGCCCAGCUCCCAAAUUCCUGACCCAUAGCAUCUGUGGGGUAUAAUAAAUGUUUC